rnacentral:rRNA from 1 species
GACGAACGCUGGCGGCGUGCCUAAUAUAUGCAAGUCGAGCGCAGGAAGCUGACGGAACUCUUCGGAGGGAAGGCAGUGGAAUGAGCGGCGGACGGGUGAGUAACACGUAAGGAACCUGCCUCAAGGAUUGGGAUAACUCCGAGAAAUCGGAGCUAAUACCGGAUAGUUCAUCGGACCGCAUGGACCGUUGCAGAAAGGCGCUCCGGCGUCACCUUGAGAUGGCCUGUCGGUGCAUUAGCUAGUUGGUGGGGGACCGGCCCACCAAGGCGACGAUGCAUAGCCGACCUGAGCGGGUGAUCGGCCACACUGGGACUGAGACGCGGCCCAGACUCCUACGGGAGGCAGCAGUAGGGAAUCUUCCACAAUGGACGAAAGUCUGAUGGAGCAACGCCGCGUGAGUGAUGAAGGUUUUCGGAUCGUAAAACUCUGUUGUAAGGGAAGAACACGUACGAGAGGAAAUGCUCGUACCUUGACGGUACCUUACGAGAAAGCCACGGCUAACUACGUGCCAGCCGCCGCAGUAA